AUUGAACGCUGGCGGCAUGCCCUACACAUGCAAGUCGAACGGCAGCGGACCUUCGGGUGCCGGCGAGUGGCGAACGGGUGAGUAAUAUAUCGGAACGUACCUUUCAGUGGGGGAUAACGUAGCGAAAGUUACGCUAAUACCGCAUAUUCUGUGAGCAGAAAAGCAGGGGAUCGCAAGACCUUGCGCUGAUUGAGCGGCCGAUAUCAGAUUAGCUAGUUGGUGAGGUAAAGGCUCACCAAGGCGACGAUCUGUAGCGGGUCUGAGAGGAUGAUCCGCCACACUGGAACUGAGACACGGUCCAGACUCCUACGGGAGGCAGCAGUGGGGAAUUUUGGACAAUGGGCGCAAGCCUGAUCCAGCCAUGCCGCGUGAGUGAAGAAGGCCUUCGGGUUGUAAAGCUCUUUCGGCCGGGAAGAAAUCGCACGGGUUAAUACCCUGUGUGGAUGACGGUACCGGAAUAAGAAGCACCGGCUAACUACGUG
rnacentral:rRNA from 1 species